UACGUAGGGUGCGAGCGUUAAUCGGAAUUACUGGGCGUAAAGCGUGCGCAGGCGGUUGUGCAAGUCAGGUGUGAAAUCCCCGGGCUUAACCUGGGAAUUGCGCUUGAAACUAGCGGGCUUGAGUGUGGCAGAGGGGGGUGGAAUUCCACGUGUAGCAGUGAAAUGCGUAGAGAUGUGGAGGAACACCGAUGGCGAAGGCAGCCCCCUGGGUCAACACUGACGCUCAUGCACGAAAGCGUGGGGAGCAAACAGG
rnacentral:rRNA from 1 species